rnacentral:rRNA from 1 species
UACGAAGGGUGCAAGCGUUAUUCGGAAUUACUGGGCGUAAAGGGUGCGUAGGCGGUUAGUUAAGUCUGGCGUGAAAUCCCCGGGCUCAACCUGGGAAUGGCGAUGGAUACUGGCUAGCUAGAGUGUGUCAGAGGAUGGUGGAAUUCCCGGUGUAGCGGUGAAAUGCGUAGAGAUCGGGAGGAACAUCAGUGGCGAAGGCGGCCAUCUGGGACAACACUGACGCUGAAGCACGAAAGCGUGGGGAGCAAACAGG